UUGAAGUCUUUUAUGACUGAUUGGCGGACGGGUGAGUAACGCGUGGGUAACCUGCCUCAUACAGGGGGAUAGCAGCUGGAAACGGCUGGUAAUACCGCAUAAGCGCACGGUAUCGCAUGAUACAGUGUGAAAAACUCCGGUGGUAUGAGAUGGACCCGCGUCUGAUUAGCUAGUUGGUGAGGUAACGGCUCACCAAGGCGACGAUCAGUAGCCGACCUGAGAGGGUGACCGGCCACAUUGGGACUGAGACACGGCCCAGACUCCUACGGGAGGCAGCAGUGGGGAAUAUUGCACAAUGGAGGAAACUCUGAUGCAGCGACGCCGCGUGAGUGAAGAAGUAGUUCGCUAUGUAAAGCUCUAUCAGCAGGGAAGAUAGUGACGGUACCUGACUAAGAAGCUCCGGCUAAAUACGUGCCAGCAGCCGCGGUAAUACGUAUGGAGCAAGCGUUAUCCGGAUUUACUGGGUGUAAAGGGAGUGUAGGUGGCCAGGCAAGUCAGAAGUGAAAGCCCGGGGCUCAACCCCGGGACUGCUUUUGAAACUGCAGGGCUAGAGUGCAGGAGGGGCAAGUGGAAUUCCUAGUGUAGCGGUGAAAUGCGUAGAUAUUAGGAGGAACACCAGUGGCGAAGGCGGCUUGCUGGACUGUAACUGACACUGAGGCUCGAAAGCGUGGGGAGCAAACAGGAUUAGAUACCCUGGUAGUCCACGCCGUANACGAUGAAUACUAGGUGUCGGGGCACAUAAGUGC
rnacentral:rRNA from 1 species